rnacentral:rRNA from 1 species
AGUGAACGCUGGCGGUAGGCCUAACACAUGCAAGUCGAACGGCAGCACAGUAAGAGCUUGCUCUUACGGGUGGCGAGUGGCGGACGGGUGAGGAAUACCUCGGAAUCUACUUUUUCGUGGGGGAUAACGUAGGGAAACUUACGCCAAUACCGCAUACGACCUACGGGUGAAAGCAGGGGAUCUUCGGCCCUUGCGCGAUUGAAUGAGCCGAUGUCGGAUUAGCUAGUUGGCGGGGUAAAGGCCCACCAAGGCGACGAUCCGUAGCUGGUCUGAGAGGAUGAUCAGCCACACUGGAACUGAGACACGGUCCAGACUCCUACGGGAGGCAGCAGUGGGGAAUAUUGGACAAUGGGCGCAAGCCUGAUCCAGCCAUACCGCGUGGGUGAAGAAGGCCUUCGGGUUGUAAAGCCCUUUUGUUGGGAAAGAAAAGCAGCAGGUUAAUACCCCGCUGUUCUGACGGUACCCAAAGAAUAAGCACCGGCUAACUUCGUG